rnacentral:tRNA from 1 species
UAGUGUAGCGGUUAACACGCCUGCCUGUCACGCAGGAGAUCGCGGGUUCGAUUCCCGU